rnacentral:rRNA from 1 species
CUGGCGGCGUGCUUAACACAUGCAAGUCGAACGGUGAAGCCCCGCUUGCGGGGUGGAUCAGUGGCGAACGGGUGAGUAACACGUGAGCAACCUGCCCCUGACUCUGGGAUAAGCGCUGGAAACGGCGUCUAAUACUGGAUACGAGACGUGAUCGCAUGGUCAACGUUUGGAAAGAUUUUUCGGUUGGGGAUGGGCUCGCGGCCUAUCAGCUUGUUGGUGAGGUAAUGGCUCACCAAGGCGUCGACGGGUAGCCGGCCUGAGAGGGUGACCGGCCACACUGGGACUGAGACACGGCCCAGACUCCUACGGGAGGCAGCAGUGGGGAAUAUUGCACAAUGGGCGCAAGCCUGAUGCAGCAACGCCGCGUGAGGGAUGACGGCCUUCGGGUUGUAAACCUCUUUUAGCAGGGAAGAAGCGAGAGUGACGGUACCUGCAGAAAAAGCACCGGCUAACUACGUGCCAGCAGCCGCGGUAAUACGUAGGGUGCAAGCGUUAUCCGGAAUUAUUGGGCGUAAAGAGCUCGUAGGCGGUUUGUCGCGUCUGCUGUGAAAUCUGGGGGCUCAACCCCCAGCCUGCAGUGGGUACGGGCAGACUAGAGUGCGGUAGGGGAGAUUGGAAUUCCUGGUGUAGCGGUGGAAUGCGCAGAUAUCAGGAGGAACACCGAUGGCGAAGGCAGAUCUCUGGGCCGUAACUGACGCUGAGGAGCGAAAGGGUGGGGA